CUCCUACGGGGCGCAGCAGUGAGGAAUAUUGGUCAAUGGGCGCGAGCCUGAACCAGCCAAGUCGCGUGAAGGAUGACUGCCCUACGGGUUGUAAACUUCUUUUAUAAAGGAAUAAAGUGAGGCACGUGUGCCUUUUUGUAUGUACUUUAUGAAUAAGGAUCGGCUAACUCCGUGCCAGCAGCCGCGGUAAUACGGAGGAUCCGAGCGUUAUCCGGAUUUAUUGGGUUUAAAGGGUGCGUAGGCGGGAUGCCAAGUCAGCGGUAAAAAUGCGGUGCUAAACGCCGUCGAGCCGUUGAAACUGGCGU
rnacentral:rRNA from 1 species